rnacentral:rRNA from 1 species
GACAGAGGUGCCGAGCGUUAGGCGGAAUCACUGGGCUUAAAGCGUGUGUAGGCGGACCCGUCAGUGUCUUGUGAAAUCCCCCGGCUCAACCGGGGAACCGCUGGGCAUACUGCGGGUCUUGAGACACCUAGGGGCGAGCGGAACAGGCGGUGGAGCGGUGAAAUGCGUAGAUAUCGCCUGGAACGCCGACGGUGAAAACAGCUCGCUGGGGGUGUUCUGACGCUGAGACACGAAAGCCAGGGGAGCGAACGGG